GCGUGCGCAGGCGGUUGUGCAAGACAGAUGUGAAAUCCCCGGGCUCAACCUGGGAAUUGCAUUUGUGACUGCACGGCUAGAGUGUGUCAGAGGGGGGUAGAAUUCCACGUGUAGCAGUGAAAUGCGUAGAUAUGUGGAGGAAUACCGAUGGCGAAGGCAGCCCCCUGGGAUAACACUGACGCUCAUGCACGAAAGCGUGGGGAGCAAACAGGAUUAGAUACCCUGGUAGUCCACGCCCUAAACGAUGUCUACUAGUUGUCGGGUCUUAAUUGACUUGGUAACGCAGCUAACGCGUGAAGUAGACCGCCUGGGGAGUACGGUCGCAAGAUUAAAACUCAAA
rnacentral:rRNA from 1 species